AACACUUGGAAACAGGUGCUAAUACCGCAUAACCAUAGUUACCGCAUGGUAACUAUGUAAAAGGUGGCUAUGCUACCGCUUUUGGAUGGGCCCGCGACGCAUUAGCUAGUUGGUGGGGUAAAGGCUUACCAAGGCAAUGAUGCGUAGCCGAACUGAGAGGUUGAUCGGCCACAUUGGGACUGAGACACGGCCCAAACUCCUACGGGAGGCAGCAGUAGGGAAUCUUCCACAAUGGGCGAAAGCCUGAUGGAGCAACGCCGCGUGGGUGAAGAAGGUCUUCGGAUCGUAAAACCCUGUUGUUAGAGAAGAAAGUGCGUGAGAGUAACUGUUCACGUUUCGACGGUAUCUAACCAGAAAGCCACGGCUAACUACGUGCCAGCAGCCGCGGUAAUACGUAGGUGGCAAGCGUUAUCCGGAUUUAUUGGGCGUAAAGAGAACGCAGGCGGUCUUUUAAGUCUGAUGUGAAAGCCUUCGGCUUAACCGGAGUAGUGCAUUGGAAACUGGGAGACUUGAGUGCAGAAGAGGAGAGUGGAACUCCAUGUGUAGCGGUGAAAUGCGUAGAUAUAUGGAAGAACACCAGUGGCGAAAGCGGCUCUCUGGUCUGUAACUGACGCUGAGGUUCGAAAGCGUGGGUAGCAAACAGGAUUAGAUACCCUGGUAGUCCACGCCGUAAAC
rnacentral:rRNA from 1 species